GAUGAACGCUGGCGGCGUGCCUAAUACGUGCAAGUAGAACGCUGAAGGAAGGAGCUUGCUCUUUCCGGAUGAGUUGCGAACGGGUGAGUAACGCGUAGGUAACCUGCCUGGUAGCGGGGGAUAACUAUUGGAAACGAUAGCUAAUACCGCAUAACAGUAGAUGUUGCAUGAUAUCUACUUAAAAGGUGCAAUUGCACCACUACCAGAUGGACCUGCGUUGUAUUAGCUAGUUGGUGAGGUAACGGCUCACCAAGGCGACGAUACAUAGCCGACCUGAGAGGGUGAUCGGCCACACUGGGACUGAGACACGGCCCAGACUCCUACGGGAGGCAGCAGUAGGGAAUCUUCGGCAAUGGACGGAAGUCUGACCGAGCAACGCCGCGUGAGUGAAGAAGGUUUUCGGAUCGUAAAGCUCUGUUGUAAGAGAAGAACGAGUGUGAGAGUGGAAAGUUCACACUGUGACGGUAUCUUACCAGAAAGGGACGGCUAACUACGUG
rnacentral:rRNA from 1 species